UCAAUUCAAAAUAAACCAAAUAAUAGGAGAAAUCGGGAAUCUUUUAGAAAAGUUUGAUGUAUUUGUUGAUGUACAUAGGUAACUACUGGUGACAAUUUUGGAGGGUGUUAUUUUGAUGGUGUGGAUGAUGUUGUGAUUGUGUCCAUUUUUUUUGUGUUGCUGGAGAUUUAUUUUUGGAUGGAAAGGCAACAUUAAUAUGUAGUGUACUGCUCUCAUGUUUUACAUGGGCCUAUGUAUAGUUAAAUUAUUGUGAAAGACACCUAGUUUUUGAUAAUCUAUCGUAUGCUCAUUCUUGC
rnacentral:lncRNA from 1 species